GAUUUCUGGUAUGGCGCACUUGGCCCGUCUCGGUUACGAGUUUGUGUGCCGGUGUGCGCCUGCCAUCUUUCUGGGGAACGGCUCUACCUUCACUGGUCGGGGUCGCUAGCCAGAUCUUUUACUUUGAAAAAAUUAGAGUGUUUAAAGCAGGCUUGUUGCUAUGAAUACAUUAGCAUGGAAUAAUAAUUUAGGACUUUGGUCUUAUUUUGUUGGUUUCUAGGACUAAAGUAAUGAUUGAUAGGGACAGUUGGGGGUGCUAGUAUUCAGCGGCCAGAGGUGAAAUUCUUGGAUUCGCUGAAGACUAACUUAUGCGAAAGCAUU
rnacentral:rRNA from 2 species